UACGUAGGGUGCAAGCGUUAAUCGGAAUUACUGGGCGUAAAGCGUGCGCAGGCGGUUUUGUAAGUCUGUCGUGAAAGCCCCGGGCUUAACCUGGGAAUUGCGAUGGAGACUGCAAGGCUUGAAUCUGGCAGAGGGGGGUAGAAUUCCACGUGUAGCAGUGAAAUGCGUAGAGAUGUGGAGGAAUACCGAUGGCGAAGGCAGCCUCCUGGGCCAACACUGACGCUCAUGCACGAAAGCGUGGGGAGCAAACAGG
rnacentral:rRNA from 1 species